GAUGAGUGAUUUCCUGAGCAUGCCUAGGGAAUGACAGGCAUCUCCACAGGCAGGCUGCAUCCACCUUGGCCGGGGUGUCGUCAUUGGCUGCCUAUUAGAAAAACGACAGGACAAUGCAUACCACCGCCUGCCGACUAUAAACAUAGGGAAUAUGUGUUCACUUAGCAUGGACUUCUGGGAGGGGCCAAGGAAGGGCGGUCUGGAGUUUUAUUGAAUAGAGCAGUGUGUAUUCGGCUGCCUGCCUGCUUGCUCUCUGACUGUGCUCCUGCUUAAAGAAAUCAGUCCUUCCUUUCCGACUUAGUCCUCAGGAAGAAGUUUCAGCCUACAAGGUAUCAUUGGAACAUUUCAAGAUCAUCAAAUCAAAUUCCAUAGGGACUGGUGAUCAACCAGAAGGCUCAGACAUCUGAUUGCUGACCUGUCCAGAAAUCAUCUGGGCUCCCUGAACCGGAAAUAACACCAUGGAUGAUUUUGAACGUCGCAGAGAACUUAGAAGGCAAAAGAGGGAGGAGAUGCGACUCGAAGCAGAAAGAAUCGCCUACCAGAGGAACGACGAUGAUGAAGAGGAGGCCGCCCGGGAACGGCGCCGCCGAGCCCGACAGGAACGGCUGCGGCAGAAGCAGGAGGAAGAAUCCUUGGGGCAGGUGACCGACCAGGUGGAGGUGAAUGCCCAGAACAGUGUGCCCAACGAGGAGGCCAAGACAACCACCACAAACACUCAAGUGGAAGGGGACGAUGAGGCCGCAUUCCUGGAGCGCCUGGCUCGGCGAGAGGAAAGACGCCAAAAACGCCUUCAGGAGGCUCUGGAGCGGCAGAAGGAGUUUGACCCAACAAUAACAGAUGCAAGUCUGUCGCUCCCAAGCCGAAGAAUGCAAAAUGACACAGCAGAAAAUGAAACUGCAGAGAAGGAAGAAAAAAGUGAAAGUCGCCAAGAAAGAUACGAGAUAGAGGAAACAGAAACAAUCACCAAGUCCUACCAGAAGAACGACUGGAGGGAUGCUGAUGAAAACAAGAAAGACGACAAGGAAAAGGAGGAGGAGGAAGAAGAGAAAUCAAAGCGAGGGAGCAUUGGAGAAAAUCAGGUAGAGGUGGUGGUAGACGAGAAAACUGAAAGCCAGGAGGAAACGGUGGUAAUGUCAUUAAAAAACGGGCAGAUCAGUUCAGAAGAGCCUCAGCCAGAGGAGGAGAGGGAACAAGGUUCAGGUGAGAGUUCCCAUCAUGAAAAGGUGGAAGAGGAAGACAAGGAAAGAGCUGAGGCAGAGAGGGUAAGGUUGGAAGCAGAAGAAAGAGAAAGAAUGAAAGCUGAGCAAGACAAAAAGAUAGCAGAUGAACGUGCAAGAAUUGAAGCAGAAGAAAAAGCAGCUGCCCAAGAAAGAGAAAGGAGAGAAGAGGAGAGGCAGAGGGUGAAGGAGGAGGAGAAAAGGGCAGCAGAGGAGAGGCAGAGGGUGAAGGAGGAAGAGAAAAGGGCAGCAGAGGAGAGGCAAAGCGCCAGGGCAGAGGAGGAAGAGAAAGCUAAGAUAGAAGAGCAGAAACGUAACAAGCAGCUAGAAGAGACACGAAAUGCCACACAAGAGACAAAGAUAAAAGGGGAAAAGGUAAAAGUGGAAAUAGAAGGGAAAUGGGUAAAUGAAAAGAAAGUGCAAGAAGAUAAACUUCAGACAGCUGUCCCAAAGAAACAGAUCAAAGAUGAAAAGAUUAAAAAGGACAAAGAACCCAAAGAAGAAGCUAAGAGCUUCAUGGAUCGGAAGAAAGGAUUUACAGAAGUUAAGUCACAGAAUGGAGAAUUCAUGACCCACAAACUUAAACAUACAGAGAAUACUUUCAGCCGCCCUGGAGGGAGGGCCAGCCUGGACUCCAAGGAGGCUGAAGGCGCCCCCCAGGUGGAAGCCGGCAAGCGGCUGGAGGAGCUUCGUCGUCGCCGCGGGGAGACUGAGAGCGAAGAGUUUGAGAAGCUCAAACAGAAGCAGCAAGAGGCGGCUUUGGAGCUGGAGGAGCUCAAGAAAAAGAGGGAGGAGAGAAGGAAGGUCCUGGAGGAGGAAGAACAGAGGAGGAAGCAGGAGGAAGCCGAUCGAAAACUCAGAGAGGAGGAAGAGAAGAGAAGGCUAAAGGAAGAGAUUGAAAGGCGAAGAGCAGAAGCUGCUGAGAAACGCCAGAAGAUUCCAGAAGAUGGCUUGUCAGAUGACAAGAAACCAUUCAAGUGUUUCACUCCUAAAGGUUCAUCUCUCAAGAUAGAAGAGCGAGCAGAAUUUUUGAAUAAGUCUGUGCAGAGAAGCAGUGGUGUCAAAUCAACUCAUCAAGCAGCAGUAGUCUCCAAGAUUGACAGCAGACUGGAGCAGUACACCAGUGCAAUUGAGGGAACAAAAAGUGCAAAACCUGCAAAGCCGGCAGCCUCGGAUCUUCCCGUUCCUGCUGAAGGGGUACGCAACAUCAAGAGCAUGUGGGAGAAAGGGAACGUGUUUUCAUCCCCCGCUGCAGCAGCAGGCACCCCAAAUAAGGAAACUGCUGGCUUGAAGGUAGGGGUUUCCAGCCGCAUCAAUGAGUGGCUAACUAAAACCCCGGAUGGAAACAAGUCACCUGCUCCCAAACCUUCUCUGAACUUCUGUUCCUCAUUCUUUGGUCUCUGGUUGAUUGGAAACCUGCUUCUCCUGCCUUCAUUUCUCCCUCUUCUUCCGGAGUGGGUCUUUCUCUAAAAUGUAGUCGGGUCAGGACUUGAGACCAGGAGAUGUAUCCGGCAAGCGGAACCUCUGGGAAAAGCAAUCUGUGGACAAGGUCACUUCCCCCACUAAGGUUUGAAACAGUUCAAGAAAGAACCCAAGCUCAAGACGCGGGACGAGCUCAGUUGUAGAGAGCUAAUUUGCUCUGUUUUGUAUUUAUGUUGAUUUACUAAAUUGGGUUCAUUUUAUAUUUUAAUAUCCCAAUAAACCCAUGUAUAUUAUCACUAUAUUUAAUAAUCACAGUCUAGAGAUGUUCAAGGUAAAAGUACUGCCUUUGCACAGGAGCCUGUUUCUAAAGAAACCCAUGCUGUGAAAUAGAGACUUUUCUACUGAUCAUCGUAACUCUGUGUCUGAACAGUGAUACACCAACCACAUCUGAAGUCAACAAGGUCCAAGUUUAAAAUUGCCUGCGGAAUGUGUGCAGUAUCUAGAAAAAUGAACCAUAGUUUGUUUUUUUUUUAUAAAUACAGAAGUCAUGUUGUUUCUGCACUUUAUAAUAAAGCAUGGAAGAAAUUAUCUUAGUAGGCAAUUGUAACACUUUUUGAAAGUAACCCAUUUCAGAUUUGAUAUACUGCAAUAAUGGUUGUCUUUAAAAAAAAAAAAGGAAAUAUACUGUUAAGGUAUUACUUUUUUUCAUGCUGAUUCAUAUCUAAAUUACAUUAUUAUGUUAGCUGACAGUGGUACUGAUUUUUUAGGUUGGUUGUUUUGUGGAUUUCUUUAGUAGUGAUAGUAGCCUGAACCACAUUUUAGAUAACUCAAUUAUGUAUGUAUGUGCAUACACAUAUACAAACACACUAAUGGUAGAAUGCUUUUUUAUGUGCUAGACUAUUAUAUUUAGUAGCAUGUCAUUGUAACUAGCCAAUAUCACAGCUUUUGAAAACUUAAAAAUCACAAUAUAUUAAUAUUUCAUAUUUGCCAACAGAAACAUGGCAGAUAGGUAUCAAUACGUUUUCAAUGCCUGAUGACCUAUAAGAAGAAAGUAUUGGGGAAAAAAGAGAUUAGAAGUGUCACAAGGAGUUGAAAUUUUCUAAAAGACAUAGUAUUUAGUUUAUAAUUAAAUGCAAUCUUGAAGUCCA